rnacentral:tRNA from 1 species
AUUUUGGUGGCUGAGUUUAAGCUGAAGGUUGUAAACCUUCCAACGGGUUCCACCCCCAGGAUU